UUGGGGUGUAUACGCCAUUAUUAUUGGUUGAACUAAUGUCUGCUGUUUUAUUCUUAGUGUACAUCAAUUUACCAAUACCACAUGGAUUGGAUAUGCCAACAGAUUCAACAUGUAUGCUAGCUUUUCUAAAUGAAUCACCAAGACAGUAUGUGGAAAUUGAAUGAUUAAUGGAACAAGCAGUCCAGUUUCACAUACAUAGCUCAAUAAUUUUUGUUAUAAGAAAUGUAUCUUUCAUCAUCAUUAUGAAAAUAUUGAAAACAAUUGUUUUCCCAAGUAAAGUGCUUCAAAUUUGCAAUGAAUUUGCAAUGGUGUGAUGUCAUCAGUGACAUCAUAAGUUUUGUUGCGUUGUCAUGGAAACAGGCUAUGUAAAGUUUGUUUAGGGUUUUUUAGUGCUUACAGUAAGGAAAGUGAAAAAAUCUAUAAAAUAUCAUGAAUAAAUCUCGGAAACAAUGACAAGCACAUUUAUCCAAUAAGAAUGCAGAAUAAUGACAUCACAUGGUUUCCAUGGCAACUGAAAAAGUUAUCUGUGGUACUUUGGAUCACAAGUAGCAUUGUCUUGCAAACAUUUUAUUUCUAAAAAGUAACGUUUUAUGGUGACAAAACACGAUAAUUGUUCAGAGC